rnacentral:rRNA from 1 species
GAAGAACGCAGCGAAAUGCGAUACUUGGUGUGAAUUGCAGAAUCCCGUGAACCAUCGAGUCUUUGAACGCAAGUUGCGCCCGACGCCAUUAGGCCGAGGGCACGUCUGCCUGGGCGU